AACGAACGUUGGCGGCGUGCCUAAUACAUGCAAGUCGAGCGAGAAAACCGGGGCAACUCGGUGAGUACAGCGGCGGAAGGGUGAGUAAUACAUGGACAACGUACCUUCCAGUCGGGGAUAACCCUCCGAAAGGUGGGCUAAUACCGAGAAUAACGGCCGGGGGAGGCAUCUCCUCCGUCCCAAAGACGCAAGUCGCUGGAAGAGCGGUCCAUGGCCUAUCAGCUAGUUGGCGGGGUAACGCCCACCAAGGCAAUGACGGGUAGCCGGACUGAGAGGUUGAACGGCCACACGGGGACUGAGACACGGCCCCGACACCUACGGGUGGCAG
rnacentral:rRNA from 1 species